CCCUUAGAUGUUCUGGGCCGCACGCGCGCUACACUGACGGAGUCAACGAGUUGUCCUGCAUCGGAAGGUGUGGGUAAUCUUUUGAAACUUCGUCGUGCUGGGGAUAGAUCUUUGCAAUUUUCGAUCUUGAACGAGGAAUUCCUAGUAAGCGUGAGUCAUCAGAUCGCGUUGAUUACGUCCCUGCCCUUUGUACACACCGCCCGUCGCUACUACCGAUUGAAUGGUUUAGUGAGGCCUCGGGACUGGCGCGCUCGAGUAGCAAUACACCUGCGCGCCGGGAACUUGGUCAAACUUGAUCAUUUAGAGGAAGUAAAAGUCGUAACA
rnacentral:rRNA from 1 species